rnacentral:misc_RNA from 1 species
GAUGAAGAACGUAGCGAAAUGCGAUACGUAGUGUGAAUUGCAGAAUUCAGUGAAUCAUCGAAUCUUUGAACGCACAUUGCGCCCUUUGGUAUUCCAAAGGGCAUGCCUGUUCGAGCGUCAUUUGUACCCUCAAGCUUUGCUUGGUGUUGGGCGUCUUUGUCUCUCACGAGACUCGCCUUAAAAUGAUUGGCAGCCGACCUACUGGUUUCGGAGCGCAGCACAAUUCUUGCACUUUGAAUCAGCCUUGGUUGAGCAUCCAUCAAGACCACAUUUUCUUAACUUUUGACCUCGGAUCAGGUAGGGAUACCCGCUGAACUUAAGCAUAUCAAUAAGCGGAGGA